AACACUUGUUCUUGUAUGAUCACAAAAGUUAAGCAACAUUGAGCCUGGUCAGUACUUAGAUGGGUGACCCCUGUGGAAUACAAGGUGCU